GGUUGUAAAGCUUUAAAGUAAGCAUGUGUCUUGAAAUCACAAGAAAGAAGUUUAACUCUCCUAACAACCU
rnacentral:tRNA from 1 species